AGUGGCGCACGGGUGCGUAACGCGUGGGAAUCUGCCCUUAGGUACGGAAUAACUCAGGGAAACUUGUGCUAAUACCGUAUGAUGUCGAGAGACCAAAGAUUUAUCGCCUAGGGAUGAGCCCGCGUAGGAUUAGCUAGUUGGUGGGGUAAAGGCCUACCAAGGCUACGAUCCUUAGCUGGUCUGAGAGGAUGAUCAGCCACACUGGGACUGAGACACGGCCCAGACUCCUACGGGAGGCAGCAGUGGGGAAUAUUGGACAAUGGGCGAAAGCCUGAUCCAGCAAUGCCGCGUGAGUGAAGAAGGCCUUCGGGUUGUAAAGCUCUUUUACCCGGGAAGAUAAUGACUGUACCGGGAGAAUAAGCCCCGGCUAACUCCGUGCCAGCAGCCGCGGUAAUACGGAGGGGGCUAGCGUUGUUCGGAAUUACUGGGCGUAAAGCGUACGUAGGCGGCUUUGUAAGUCAGAGGUGAAAGCCCACGACUCAAUCGUGGAACUGCCUUUGAGACUGCUUCGCUUGAAGAUGGGAGAGGUUAGUGGAAUUCCGAGUGUAGAGGUGAAAUUCGUAGAUAUUCGGAAGAACACCAGUGGCGAAGGCGGCUAACUGGACCAUUCUUGACGCUGAGGUACGAAAGUGUGGGGAGCAAACAGGAUUAGAUACCCUGGUAGUCCACGCCGUAAACGAUGAUAACUAGCUGU
rnacentral:rRNA from 1 species